rnacentral:rRNA from 1 species
CAGUCGCCACGGGAAUACGGAGGGGGCUAGCGUUGUUCGGAAUUACUGGGCGUAAAGCGCACGUAGGCGGCUUGGUAAGUUAGAGGUGAAAGCCCGGAGCUCAACUCCGGAAUUGCCUUUAAGACUGCCGAGCUAGCAGGUGAGAGAGGUAAGUGGAAUUCCGAGUGUAGAGGUGAAAUUCGUAGAUAUUCGGAAGAACACCAGUGGCGAAGGCGGCUUACUGGCUCAUACUGGACGCUGAGGUGCGAAAGCGUGGGGAGCAAACAGGAUUAGAUACCCCCGUAGUCCCUGUCUCUUAUAC